AGAUAAGAGUGGUCGUUAAAUGAAUCACGUUCUUCCCCUCUCUCUCUCUCCCCCCUAGCAUCUCUGGCCCUUACCCCUUCCCCCCUCCCCAAAUUUGAGUAAAAACUCAAGAGUAUCCUCAAUGGCGAAACACAUCUUCUAAUCUGUUGUUUUUUAGAUAUCAAGGAAGAACGCUCGUUAAGGGCGAAGAGAGAGAUUUCUGUUCGAACAAACACACCGAGUUCUUCUGUCCGACCAGAUCAGACCCUUUUCUCUGCAACUUGGCAACUCCAGAAUCAAAAGUGGCUCUAGUUUACAGUUGGAUGAAUGACCAGUAGGAGCUCGUACGAGAGUUUGUUUGACUGCCCUAACUAUGGAAGAAUAUUCUACCAGUCCCUUGUAUCUACAUGAGCUCCCGUAAAAACUCAUGUAGAUAUAAGGGACUCACAGUCUAAGUUACGUGAAGCUGGAUUUGGAGCGAUGAGGACUGGUUAUCAAGAUAAUAAGACAAGAAAAAAGGAUUCAGGAUUUUCAAGUAUCACGAAAAUAAUUUGGAACAUUAUUCCGAAAAGGCAAGUUUCUCAAUCAUUUGAGUUUCUUUGGAUUGCGUAUGUGUAUUUUUCUAGUUAGUAACAAUUUCUUUUAGGUAGUGAUUGGACGAUGGUGUCGACUUCUCAGCACGAUGAGAUUGCUUUCGGAGGCUUUUUUCAAAUUCAUCUCAAGUCGUUCUACCUUGUAGCCACGAAGAUUAGAGAAAGAGAAGCUGAUUUUGGGUUAAUUGCGUUCUUUUUCUUAAGGUAAUAUUGCGGACAAUAAUUUGGUAGUAUGCCUUGCUGUGAUGAUGUAUUUCAAGAAAGAUCUUUGAAUGGUAAGCUUAGUGGAUUCUAGUUUUUGUUAUGGCAUAUAGAGUCAUUUUAUACUGGAUGUGGUAUUGCUGGUAGUUUGGAUGUAUUGGUGUAUGAUGUGGCAAUGUUUAGCUGAUUUACAAUCUGUACAUGUGUUAUUGCUAAUUUUAAAUAAUAAGAGUUUGAAAUAUUGAACUUGCUAGAAUUCUAGGUCUACAUUGCUCGAAUAGAUAGUCUAGUUACAUCGUGUUUCAGAAGGGAUGGGAAAAUAACUAAGCAAAGUAAACCACCAAAUCAUACCAACCAAUUUGAAAGGUUUCGGUUGGUUCUCCCUUUUUCAUGGUUUGGUUGUUUUUUGGGAUAUACUCCACAGUUCUUGUUUAGCGUCUCCUGAUUUGUUCAGAAAAUAUCUUUAUUUGAUGCUAUUUUUUCCCUUUAAUUUCGUGUAGUAAAGUUUUGACUUUCUGAAAAAGAUAUCUCAUUGGUUUCUUUUCAGAAAAUGGUCAGUUGGUCCUUGUCUGUCUCUGUGUUCCCUUCAUGCAGGUUGCAACCACUGUUGAUCAACCUUUAAUUUUGCUUGUUUUCUUGGUGUGCUCUAGGAUUUGUUUGAAGAACCUUGAAUGCAUUGUGGGUUAGAGAAACUUGACUCUGAUGAUUGUUUGAGUUUUGGUUCUGCUUUCUGUUAAGUUCAUCAUAAGUUGUAGGCUUGCUGGAAUCUGGAAUGUGAUAUUGAACGUGUGUUGUCCAAGAUUUGCCUUGUCAAUGACUUGUGGUAGUCUAACUUUAAGAUUUGCCUUGUCAAUGACUUGUGGUAUCUGACUUUAGCUUCUGUUCAAAUGCUUUAUGGUGGGUAUACACUUGUUUAAAGGGCCUCGUGACUCGUUUUUAGUUAACUAGACUUGUGGUUUUGGUUGAAGUAGAUAUCGUGGACUACUCAGUUUUGGUUAAGUACUCAGGCUCUUGGUUUUAGUUGAGAAAUGAAACCCCAGUGGUGCUAUCUAUGAGACUAUGACUAUGAUUUAUUUGUGCCCUUCUUAGUGUGCAGCUCAUCUUGGUAUAUAUUGUGAUUCUCUUUCCGUGGUGUUAAAUUGAUAUGAACUUUUUCAUGAAUGUGAGCUAUUGCUUCUCUAUACAACUGAUACUUCUUACAAUGUGGUGUUAAUCCUACUUACGAACUCAAUUUUUGAAUAGAUAGCAUAAACUUCUUGUGGAAUUUGUGAUAUUUGGGUCGUGCGAGUUGUGUUUUAUUUUCACGGCCGUUGUUCGCAAGCAGUUUCAUAUCUCUGUAUAAUAAACAGGUCAGCUUCAUGAAUUGUUUAGGCAACUUGUAUCCCUCCUAAGUUCCAAAUUUUAAUUUGCUGAGACACUUGAGACAAACCGGCCUUUGUAAUGUGACGAAGUUUCUCAGGUACUUGUAUUUUACUUGAUCGAUUCAUCUCCCCAAGAUCGCUC